rnacentral:lncRNA from 1 species
GCGAACUCAGUAAUGGCUGUAACUAAAUCCGCCAAGCCGUUCCCUUCAGCUCUCCUCCUCGUUGCUCUCGUUCUUAUCAUCUCCGCAGGUGAAGAAGCUUUGUCUUCUCUCUCUCUCUCUAUAUAUAUAUAUAAUAUGAUCUGUUUAACUCUUUUUCUGCUGUGUACGUAGAUAUGGAGGUGGCUGCGAAACCGAUCGUGUCCUGCGGCCCCAUGCCGUAUUGCACCAAUGACAAGUGCACAGUCUACUGUGGACGACAAGGGUAUUGUCAAGCGGGGCCCCAGCCAACGUACCUUUACUGUUGCUGUCAGGGUUGACCAGUUACUAGUAGUCUUCGACAUCCAUGAACAAGACGACAAAGAACAUCCUCUGUAUCUGUUUCUUGUCUCCGGAAUAAGCUUCUCAUAGAAUCAGAAAUAAGUUUCUCAAGGUUGAUGUUCUGUAUGACUUUUC